UGCCCAAUGAGUGUGACUUUUUAGAACACAAGGAACUGUGUUCUAUCCACAUCAGUGUCCCUAAUGUACAAUGCAUAGUACAAGGUGUUCUGAUGUUUUACUUUGUGUACAAAUUUGCCAGAGCCAUGAGAAUUGAACUGAAACGUUGGUUCUCUCCAGGUCUUGAGCAUACUAACGUUUGGACUGUUAACUGUCCCACUGCCUCUACUGUUUCUCCAGUUUGCCAACGGAUUCUAUUUCUCUGAAAGACUCUAAGAACCCUAAUGCAGAUUUUGGUACCAAGUGUGGUUCUAAAGAAAAUAAUUUUAAAGAUGAGUUUUCUAAAUUGAAUCUCAGUUUUUAGAAUUUCCUCUUUAAUCUGAUUAUAUUUAAAGAUGUUAAUGACUCUGUUUCCAACAGUAAAGAGAACGCUGAUGGAAUAUGGCAUGAUUCGGCAAAAGAUACGCAAAAUUAUCACCACUGGAUACUUCUAAUCCACCACUUAUAAGAAGCAAGGACCUGGGAUAUUAUGUGAUACUUUUUAAUAUUUUCGUCAAAGUAAUGAAUAUAAUGAGAUUUGCUGUUUUCUCCUAAUGUUGCUAGACAAAGUGGGAAAACAAAAUAAGACAAGGAUUCAAAUUCUCAACUCGAGUCCUUCAUGAAUUACCUGAAAGUUUCUAUUUGUGUCCUGGAGGUCCUCAUCUCCUAUACCUGCAGGGCCGACACUACUGAAACUAAACCCAGAGUCUCAUUCUAUGAGUGAAUGAAUUACAAAAUCAGUUAAACUUGCAGAGUGUGGAAUGCUAAAGUGAGAGCUGCAUGUUUCUGUGAAGGGGAAACAUUCUGUGAUUGGGAAAGAAUGAGGUUAUAAAGAUGAAUGGGAAUUGUGGAAAGACCAUGGUGGAGCUGGAAAUGUUGAACACCAAAUUAUUUUAAAUUUUAUUUUAAAAAUUAUUUUUAUUGACACAUAAUAUUUGUACAUAUUUGUGGGGUACAUGUGAUAUAGUAUGACAUGAAUAAACAGUGGAAUGAUCAAGUCA
rnacentral:lncRNA from 13 species